rnacentral:rRNA from 1 species
ACCCAAAGUCACUUUAGCCAGCCUGCAAAGGAGGCGAGUGCCUAAGGUAUGGGGGAUGAUUGGGGUGAAGUCGUAACAAGGUAGCUGUAGGUGAACCCUGCAGAAGGAUCA